CCACAGCCAAUGAGGCUUACUAGGCUCCUUUCCUUUAGGUGCUCGGUGUGCAAUAGCCACAAAUAGCAGCAGCCUGAGUGAUGUACAUAAGUUGUUGCUCCUAUGGGUUACUCUAAGGGGCCUUGGAUGCAAAA